rnacentral:lncRNA from 12 species
UUAGAACACAAGCACAUUGUUUCUUCAGUUUAACUGUCCUGAAGGAUGAGCCCUGGUCUUCCUCUGCUCAAACUAGCCUCCAGUUAUACCAGAUUCCAGAAAAAAAGCCGUAAGAGAAGCAGGGGAGAGUACUAGACACCCAAGACCCAAGUGUAAUUCUGGAAGAUUACAGAGUGAAGCAGUGAAGAGGAUAAACAGGUUGGGCAGGACAUCAUCAUGAUACUCUCCAAACCCUCAGUGCCACUAGGUGCCACAAAGCCAACGCACUGGGGGUCUCUCUUGGGCCGUCUCCAGGAAGCCUCUGGCCGCUGCUCAGCCUCCCAGCAGCUGUGGCAGCAAUUCCUCUUCCUUGAGCCAGUCCUCCUUAAGGCAACAACUAGUAGCCCUUUUACACCUAAGGCCCCUCUCCAGCUGUGCGGUGAAACAUAGUCACCUCCACUCUGCCUGCCUUCCCUCCUCGUGGCCUGGGACAGGCAACAACAAGCAUGGGAAAGUUUCCAGAAGUGUCCGGACUACUGCAACCACAGGCCUGAUCUGGAGUUAUUAGCUCCCUUCCACCAUGAUGUGGGGAAGCUCCUUUGGACUUUCACCCUCGGCGUUCAGUGGGGUAACUCGGCCUCCUGGAACCUCCCUCUACCGCCUGCCGAUCCCUUCCUGGGGCAGGCCUAGUCUUUCCUGCCAAAGGGGCUACUCCCCAAUCCUGAAGAUAGAAGAGCCACCCAAGGUACAACCAUGGAUAUUCCCUGGUCUCAAGUAACAGAUCAGAGACCUGCCAGAGAUGAUGUGCCAGUGGUCACUAACACAACCUCAGAGACUCCUGGUCACCAUCAUCCCCUGCUGCCUCCUUCACGUGCUUCUCCUGAUGGAAGGUUGGCAUCGUAUCUCUACCACCCAUGCAUCCUCCAUGGCCUCCCUGCACCGCUCUGCACACAGUGGCCAUGUGAUCAAUUUUUACAGACUUGGAACAGAAAUGGAUUUCACCUGAUAGUCAAUAGAAUGGCUCCUGGGAUGCUGGUAGGCAAGGGAGGGCAAGGUCUGCGGAGCAGAGGGUGGCCUGGCUGGGAAUCACCCACCCACAGGAGUGGCCGGGCCCUGAGGCUCUGA